UUUGACAAAUGCUGCAUUCUUAGUAAUGUAGAGGAAAGUCCAUGCUCACAUAGUCUGUGAUGACUAUAGUGUUUGCGCUAGAGGAAAAAAUAACUCUAGGUAGCUUUAAGCUAACGGCUCCGAAAUAACCUAAGUCAUUAGAUAUGGUUAAAUUAGGUAUAAAAGUGCCAAAGUGACGAAAAAACUCAGAAAUGAGUUUGGUGGAACGUGGUAAACCCCGCAAGUGAGAAACCCAAAUUUUGGUAGGGGAACUCUGAUAGGAAACUAGAACCGAUUCAGGGACUGGUAACAGUAGAUAAAUAUUUGUCGCUUCAUUUGAAGAACAGAACAUGGCUUAUAA
rnacentral:RNase_P_RNA from 1 species